GACGACAGGCAGUGCCCGAACUCUAGGCUGGGAGUUGUGCCAUGCUGCUGCUUUCGUGGGCUGACCAGAAAAGGGUAGAAGGAUUGACGUUUACGAAGUUUUUGAAUCAGGAGGCAAGGUCGCCUUGUGCCCCCAAAAGGAUAGAAAAAGGCCUGGCAAACUGGAGAAUCGCGUCCUUACGGUGCCUACAUAUUUAUAGUAUCCUGUGUUUUCCAGUUGAAAGCUUGUGAAAAUUCGCUUUAUCCUUGAAGUUCAGAAUUUUCACCAGGAUGUAUGAAGACCCUGUCCUCGAUGGAUCAGCUGGCACCACCCAGAUGGAUAAACUGGCUCAUCUGAUCUUGUGGCCCCCAUCCAGGAAGUGACUCAGUGUAAGAAGACAGCUUCAACUCCCUAUGAUUUCAUCUCUGACCAAUCAGCACUCUCGGCUCACUGGCUUCCUCCAACCCACCAAUUUGUUCUUUUUUUUUUUGAGACCAAGUCUCACCUGUCGCCCAGGCUGGAGUGCAGUGGCGUGAUCUCUGCUCACAGCAACCUCCGCCUCCUAGGUUCAAGCAAUUCUCCUGCCCCAGCCUCCCGAGUAGCUGGGAUUACAGGUGUGCGACUCCAUGCCCGGCUAACUUUUGCAUUUUUAGUAGAGACAGGGUUUCACCAUGUUGGUCAGGCUGGUCUCAAACUUCUGACCUCGUGACCCACCCGCCUCGGCCUCCCAAAGUGCUGGGAUUACAGGCAUGGGCCACUGCGCCCAGCCAAUUUGUUCUUAAAAACUCUGAUCCCUGAAUGCUUAGGGAGACUGAUUUGAGCAGUAAUAAAACUCUGGUCUCCCACA
rnacentral:lncRNA from 1 species